rnacentral:tRNA from 1 species
CAAAUUAAAGCUUUAAGAAGUAUUUUAUUUACAUUAAAAGGAUUAUUUAGAAAUAUGAUUUGA